CGUACGUAGCAGAGCAGCUCCCUCGCUGC
rnacentral:piRNA from 6 species